rnacentral:rRNA from 1 species
GAUGAACGCUGGCGGCGUGCCUAAUACAUGCAAGUCGAGCGAACGGACGAGAAGCUUGCUUCUCUGAUGUUAGCGGCGGACGGGUGAGUAACACGUGGAUAACCUACCUAUAAGACUGGGAUAACUUCGGGAAACCGGAGCUAAUACCGGAUAAUAUUUUGAACCGCAUGGUUCAAAAGUGGAAGACGGUCUUGCUGUCACUUAUAGGUGGAUCCGCGCUGCAUUAGCUAGUUGGUAAGGUAACGGCUUACCAAGGCAACGAUGCAUAGCCGACCUGAGAGGGUGAUCGGCCACACUGGAACUGAGACACGGUCCAGACUCCUACGGGAGGCAGCAGUAGGGAAUCUUCCGCAAUGGGCGAAAGCCUGACGGAGCAACGCCGAGUGAGUGAUGAAGGUCUUCGGAUCGUAAAACUCUGUUAUUAGGGAAGAACAUAUGUGUAAGUAACUGUGCACAUCUUGACGGUACCUAAUCAGAAAGCCACGGCUAACUACGUG